UGGAACUGCUGUUUCUGUUUUUACGCAAACUGUUUGUUACAGACGUCUGUUACACUAUAGCUACUUGUAAAUAAUCAUAUUUUUAUUGCAUUAUUUCCAAUAAAAGCUGAACCUCCACCAAGUCCUGGCACUUCUUGUGGCAGCAGGAGUGGCAAUUGCGGUGGUGGCUGCAGGACUUUCACUGAAAUGCUGGUGCAAGUGAAAUAUAAGGGAGUCCAGAAAUGGGUUCGACUUUCAGUGAUAGAUGACUGCUGUGAUUACUUGAAAUUCAUUCAAGAAGAUAUAUCCCAGUCAAGAGCAGAGCGGUCCAAGCAGCCACAACUAAAAAUCUUCCCUCGAACCUGUCAAGAGGACAGAAGAAGAUGCUUUUAUAGACCAGUUCAUUGUUAUUGUUUUGAUGCGGGUUUUUCGCGCAUGUGCGCCGGAUUGGUAGGCAAAAGGCGAA